rnacentral:rRNA from 1 species
GACGAACGCUGGCGGCGUGCUUAACACAUGCAAGUCGAGCGAGACUUUCUCUUCGGAGGGAUGCUCUAGCGGCGAACGGGUGAGUAACACGUGGGCAACCUGCCCCUAGCUCUGGGAUAAGCCCGAGAAAUCGGGUCUAAUACUGGAUAUUCACGACAUAGGGCAUCUUGUGUUGUGGAAAGGGUUUCUGGCUGGGGAUGGGCCCGCGGCCUAUCAGCUUGUUGGU